GCAUCCAUACAUUUUUUUACCGAAUAUGUAAACUUUUUUUUUUUGUUUUCUACUAAACAACUCUGCGUUCAAAACGAUAAUAGACUGCAACUAUUCAUUAACCCUACUCUUCUUUAGAAACACUCUUUUUCUUGUAUUCACUUGUAAUAUUCGUAACACAUCUUUCAUGCGCAAAAGCUUAGCAGACGCUGGUAAUUUGGACAAUUGGUAAACUUCGUCGAAUCACCAAUUAUCAGAAGCAUCAUUAUCGUACUUGAUUAUUUUUAUUAUUUGUCAAUCUGUGUAGGGUGCACAAUAAGAAUAAUAUUUACCGAAAACCAUCACUAUCCUUCAAAGAACGCAAUUGCAAUGUUCCGUUUUUAGGAACUUUAAACGGUGUUAAAUCUUGUUUAAAGCGGGAAUUAAUUCAUUUUUUAGAAUACGAGAAAUUUCAUAAGAAU